rnacentral:lncRNA from 1 species
CUCUUGCACUGUAAGCCUGGACACUUCUAGGGUCGGUGGAGGAAGGGGACUAUUUUUACAGCACGUGGAGGAGGUUCCGCCAUCUUGCCCCAUAACUGGACCAUGGCGACCACUCCUGGAUGUGAGGUGCUGUCAGAGAGCUGGUCUGGACUCCUCCCUGGUCUGGGCAUCUGUGCACCUGGCUGGAUGAUUUCACUUCCUCUCAUGAAGGCAGAGGGACCGUCAUGAUUCCUGACUUUGGCUUCAAAGCCUGUGACUCCAUUUGGUCAGUGGCAGUGGGCAGAAGUGGCAAUUUUCAGUUCCUUUUCUAGGUCUUCAGGGGGCACUGCGUGUUCCUAUUCUUAUGUCUCUGUCAAUGCCCCGUCCAUCCCACUGACCCUAGGAGGACAGAGACAGGAGGGACAGACCUGCAACCCGCCUCCCCUCACCAACCCUAGGUGCCUGAGAGACACUCACUGAGUACAGAGUGACACACAGACGUCUGUGGCUGUCUGUUACGAAGCUGUAGCUGAUGAAUACCGUGGUGUUGAACUAUCUCACACGCACUCAAGUCUAAAUACAUUUGAUCGACAAAAAGUUGAUCGCAAUAUAAAUCAGAAAUCUGAAACAAAAGAAAAGCAUUCUGAAAAUUUUUAAAAAUGCAAUUCCUAAGGAUCUAGGAGGCAAAAGAAGCCUGGAUCUUACCCCAGAGAUUUGGGCACCACCCUUACUACAAUCUGGUCACGGAAGGACGUCAUUUUCUUGCUCUUAG